GGAUUGUAGCUCAGCGGUGGAGUGCUAGCCUGGUGUGUGUGGGGCUCUGGGUUCGAUCCUCGGCACCA
rnacentral:tRNA from 1 species